ACCAGACGUCUGAGACGAGCUGUGAGAGCAGAUGACACUGGCCAGGGUGAUUUGUCUGGGUCGGAGCCAUCCUGGGCUUCAAACAUCAAAGGAUACAGUUCUCACCUGCCCGGCUGUCAUCCUUCUUUUCACCAAAAAUGCCAUCACCUCCGUCACUGGAGCUCUCCUAGGGAUAAAUGAAGCCAUCCCAUCAGCAAAUCUGGAUCUCAGAAGAAACCGCCUCAGAGAGCCCCAAUACAGAAGGA